CGCGUGCGCCUCCCCACCAUACGUAUUAACUUUUGUCAAAAUCGGUUGUCAGAUACUCAGAUCUGGGGGGGCGCCUAUCUUCUCGCUGCCUGGAUCCGAAACCCUAGCCGCCUCUCUCUCUCUCUCUCUCUCCUGCAGAUCUCCUACCACUACCUCCUUCCAACCGCUCUCCUCAGAUCCAUGGCUUCACUCUUCCUUCCAACAGCCUGCCACCGUGGUCCGCUGGCGAGAUGGAUCUAGCCCGCCGGGUUGAGACGCAGGCCCGCUGGCCGGACGGCAGCAACGUGCGUCCCCUCACCCGGUCCAUAUCCACAACUACUCCAGAUGGGAAACAGCACGGUGGCGACCGGGCCGCUCCCGGAGACUCUCACGGCGGCCGGCGUGCGAGCGUGUGCGCCUGUUCCUCUGAUGGGUGGGUUGGAUCUCUAUUUUAUGUUAUUAUUACAGAUGAUUUGCAUAAGGAAAACGAACAGAGAGUUUUUUUUUAAAAUCUUCUGUAUAUCACCGGAGGACAAAGCAAAAAGAGAAUCGUUGUUCAGAAGAUUCACCGGAGUACGGUUUUUAGGGUGUUUGGAUCCGUGGGAAUUUUUCCUAAAAGGAUGUGAAACUCUUUGGGAUUUUCCCCAAGAAUUCAUGCAGUCUAUUAUUUUUGAAGAUUUUUUUUCUCAAACCUCUUCUUGCAAUUCCUUUACUUUUGGUGGUGUAUAAUACACUCUUUGAUGACGUCUUUUUUUUGCCACGCCCCUUAGUACCACUUAUAUAGGUCCUGAUACAGAGAUGUAACAAUCCAAAGUACAUUUUAUUAGCCUAGCUCUGUCGCUAAGCCUUUUGAUCCUAGCACUUACCAUUCUUUAGUGUUUGUUAGUCCACUCUUCGCCAGUGCUAAGGUGAUAUGAGGGUAUGUACUAAGAUUAAAAAACUUAGUGCCGCUACCCAGCUUAGUGUUCAAUGCUAUGCUAGAUUAAUCUUAAUUAGUUUAUGGUCAUCCGUUUUAGUUAAAUUCAUAAAUUGAUAGUUUUAAAGUCUAGCUCCUAUGAUGCCAAGGUAAAUUGAAAGAGAAUAUUAAUUUAUUCAUCUUAGCUUCUAUUGUGUCGGUGGUAGAGAUGUGGAAGCUCCACUCGCUAAAGAGACGCUCGGUGAUGGAGUAAUCUAGCUAGCAUUUGUGUUAGUGAAUGGAGGAUAGAUGCUUGCAUGCUAGUAAGAGUUCAGGGCCUCUCUCGCUCAAAUCAUUGUAGUAUGAAACGUUUCUUUCUUUGUUGCAUCUUUUUGGUUCAGGAAUGAAGAAAAAGAAAAAAACCCAAAGAAGUUUCCUUUUGCCUAUGUCCCAAAGGGAAAUUAAAUAGAAAUUCAACAUCUAGUACUCCAUUUGACUUUUAAAGCGUAACAACAUUUGAGUCAUACUUUUGGUUGUGAUUCUUGUUGCUUCGAUUCGAUUUGACUUUUUUUUGAAGUGUAACAACAUUUGAGUCAUACUUUUGGUUGUGAUUCUUGUUGCUUUGAUUCGAUUUGACUUUUUUUUGAAGUGUAACAACAUUUGAGUCAUACUUUUGGUUGUGAUUCUUUUUUCUUUGAUUUGAUUCGACUUUUUUUAGCUUAUGAACAUUCAAGUAAGAUUGUGUUUCUUUGAUUUGACUUUUUUGUUAUUAAUUUUGUGUGUGCUUCUAUUAGGAUUUUAAUGACUUUUUUAAUCAAGUGAACCAAACACAUAAUAGGUUGACAAACUUGAUGUAUCUAAUAAUGGUUUUGCAGUCGUGGUUCUAUCAGAUUGGUGCAUUUUCAAACCAUCCAUUUGUUUGUGAGGUUUAUUUGUUUUUAAAGUAUGUGCUCAUCUUUUGGGGAUGUGCGCACAUAGAGUGAGUGGUUCACAUGUGUACUAGUAGGGUCGGCCUGUCUCCAUUUUCAUUUUGGUAGCAGUCGUGUUGCAGCCAAAGCUGUCCACUCGAAAUGAAUGAAUGGAGGCUGUCCACUCGUUCUCUCUCUCUCUCUGGAAAGAUCCAUCCAAUCCACGGACAUAUUUUGUACUCCCUCCGUCCGAAAAUAAACGUCUCAAGCUUAGUGUAACUUUGUACUAAAGUUAAUACAAAGAUGAGACACUUAUUUUGGGAUGGAGAGAGUACUACUUACUAGGCUAGCAAUAGUUUUUUCUUCUGCUGUUUCCUUGCUGUACGAGUAUUCAUUCAUGCUUGUUCUUGAGGUAAGGAAAGACCUUGGAUUCCUUGGCCUGUUCUCAGAUGAUGAUGUUGCUCUCUAUACAAUUGUUUGUUGAGGCACGUAGGCCACCCCCACCGCUCUGGAUUUGCUCGUGACAGACAGGCCGUCUGCUGCUGCAUUUGAUUUCUUGCUUGUGAAGGUUUCUAGAUCCUGAUGCAUAGUCAACUUGAUCGUGACCGAUGAACUCUCGGCGUGUCGACGACCCAUGACCUCGGCAAAAUGGAUUUGCUGGUGACAAGAAGCCGUAUGCUGCUGCUGCAUUUGAUGUCUUGUGAAGGUGUCGAUCCUGAUCCAUACGGAGCUUUGAUUAGACACAUGCACUCCUGGCAUAUGUAGGUGACCUGCAACUCCGCGACAUGGAUUUGCUAGUGCCACAACAUAUGGUGUCUUGUGUUUUACGACCCAUGGUCUCUAGACGCGUUCUUCUGCAUGUUACAGCUGCUUCCUGCAAGCACCAGAAAGAAAGACAAAGUUUUAUGACUAACUAGGCGCAUCUCUCAAGAUGUCAGUCACAAUUUAUCUUAUCCUACCGGAAGGACAUGACUUCUUUUCCAAAAACUGAGCUGCUGGAGUUUUGAAGUGUAAACUGAGAUGUACAUUUCGACUGAUGUUCCUUGUAAAAUGGGGGCUGCUGCAAAACAGUAGUAUGAAUGCUGGCACAUGCAUAUGUUAAUCACAUCAAUUAUUUGUUUGA